CCUACGGGUGGCUGCAGUAGGGAAUCUUCCGCAAUGGACGCAAGUCUGACGGAGCAACGCCGCGUGAGUGAAGAAGGUUUUCGGAUCGUAAAACUCUGUUGUUAGAGAAGAACAAGUGCUAGAGUAACUGUUAGCGCCUUGACGGUAUCUAACCAGAAAGCCACGGCUAACUACGUGCCAGCAGCCGCGGUAAUACGUAGGUGGCAAGCGUUGUCCGGAUUUAUUGGGCGUAAAGCGAGCGCAGGCGGUUCCUUAAGUCUGAUGUGAAAGCCCCCGGCUCAACCGGGGAGGGUCAUUGGAAACUGGGGAACUUGAGUGCAGAAGAGGAGAGUGGAAUUCCAUGUGUAGCGGUGAAAUGCGUAGAUAUAUGGAGGAACACCAGUGGCGAAGGCGACUCUCUGGUCUGUAACUGACGCUGAGGCUCGAAAGCGUGGGUAGCAAACAGGAUUAGAUACCCGAGUAGUC
rnacentral:rRNA from 1 species